GAUGAACGCUGGCGGCGUGCUUAACACAUGCAAGUCGAACGGACUUUAAAUGAAGCCUAGCGAUUUUAAAGUUAGUGGCGGACGGGUGAGUAACGCGUGGGCAACCUGCCUCACACAGGGGGGAUAACACUUAGAAAUAGGUGCUAAUACCGCAUAAGCGCACAGAGAUGCAUGUCUCAGUGUGAAAAACUCCGGUGGUGUGAGAUGGACCCGCGUCUGAUUAGCUAGUUGGUAAGGUAACGGCUUACCAAGGCGACGAUCAGUAGCCGGCCUGAGAGGGUGAACGGCCACAUUGGGACUGAGACACGGCCCAGACUCCUACGGGAGGCAGCAGUGAGGGAUAUUCGGCAAUGGGGGAAACCCUGACCGAGCAACGCCGCGUGAGGGAUGACGGUUUUCGGAUUGUAAACCUCUGUCCUCUGUGAAGAUAAUGACGGUAGCAGAGGAGGAAGCUCCGGGCUAACUACGUG
rnacentral:rRNA from 1 species